UAAGGAAUAUUGGUCAAUGGACGCAAGUCUGAACCAGCCAUGCCGCGUGAAGGAUGAAGGUCCUCUGGAUUGUAAACUUCUUUUAUCUGGGACGAAAACGGGAUUUUUAUCUCAAUUGACGGUACCAGAGGAAUAAGCACCGGCUAACUCCGUGCCAGCAGCCGCGGUAAUACGGAGGGUGCGAGCGUUAAUCGGAAUUACUGGGCGUAAAGCGUGCGCAGGCGGUUUUGUAAGACGGAUGUGAAAUCCCCGGGCUUAACCUGGGAACGGCAGUAGCGAAUGCAAUGCUAGAGUAGGACAUAGGUGGGUAGAAUUCCACGUGUAGCAGUGAAAGGCGUAGAGAUGUGGAGGGAUACCGAUGGCGAAGGCAGCCCCCUGGGCCAAUACUGACGCUCAUGCACGAAAGCGUGGGGAGCAA
rnacentral:rRNA from 1 species